CAGUCGCCGCGGUAAUACGUAGGUCCCGAGCGUUGUCCGGAUUUAUUGGGCGUAAAGCGAGCGCAGGCGGUUAGAUAAGUCUGAAGUUAAAGGCUGUGGCUUAACCAUAGUACGCUUUGGAAACUGUUUAACUUGAGUGCAAGAGGGGAGAGUGGAAUUCCAUGUGUAGCGGUGAAAUGCGUAGAUAUAUGGAGGAACACCGGUGGCGAAAGCGGCUCUCUGGCCUGUAACUGACGCUGAGGCUCGAAAGCGUGGGGAGCAAACGGGAUUAGAUACCCGAGUAGUCCCUGUCUCUUAUACA
rnacentral:rRNA from 1 species